rnacentral:tRNA from 1 species
GUAGCUCAGUUGGAUAGAGCGUUUGACUUCGAAUCAAAAGGCCGCGGGUUCGAGCCCCUCCGGGUGCGCCA